rnacentral:lncRNA from 1 species
AUGCAUAUCGAGAAGUGUUAUUUCUGUUCAGGGCCCAUCUACCCUGGCCACAGCAUGAUGUUCAUCCACAAUGAUUGCAAGGUGUUCAGAUUUUGUAAAUCUAAAUGUUAUAAAAACGUUAAAAAGAAGCAUAAUCCUCGCAAAGUUAGGUGAACCAAAGCAUUCCAUAAAGCAGCUGGCAAAGCACUUAUAGUGGAUAAUUCAUUUGAAUUUGAAAAACAUAGAAAUGAACCUAUCAAAUACAGAGAGAGCUAUGGAAUAAAAGUAUUGAUGCAAUGAAGAGAGUUGAAGAGAUCAAGCAGAAAUGCCAAGCGAAAUUUAUAAUGAACAGAUUGAAGAAAAAGAGCGACAGAAAGUUCAGGAUAUCAAAGAAGUCAAGCAAAACAUCCAUCUUAUCCGAGCCUCUUUUGCAGGCAAAGGGAAGCAGUUGGAAGAGAAAAUGGUAUAGCAGUUACCAGAGGAUGUGGAUAUGGAAGAUGCUUCUUAA